GUGGGGAAUAUUGGACAAUGGGGGGAACCCUGAUCCAGCCAUGCCGCGUGUGUGAAGAAGGCCUUUUGGUUGUAAAGCACUUUAAGCGAGGAGGAGGCUACCGAGAUUAAUACUCUUGGAUAGUGGACGUUACUCGCAGAAUAAGCACCGGCUAACUCUGUGCCAGCAGCCGCGGUAAUACAGAGGGUGCAAGCGUUAAUCGGAUUUACUGGGCGUAAAGCGCGCGUAGGUGGCCAAUUAAGUCAAAUGUGAAAUACCCGAGCUUAACUUGGGAAUUGCAUUCGAUACUGGUUGGCUAGAGUAUGGGAGAGGAUGGUAGAAUUCCAGGUGUAGCGGUGAAAUGCGUAGAGAGCUGGAGGAAUACCGAUGGCGAAGGCAGCCAUCUGGCCUAAUACUGACACUGAGGUGCGAAAGCAUGGGGAGCAAACAGGAUUAGAUACCCGAGUAGUCC
rnacentral:rRNA from 1 species